rnacentral:rRNA from 1 species
GAGAAGAGCUUGCUCUUCGAUUCAGCGGCGGACGGGUGAGUAAUGCCUAGGAAUCUGCCUGGUAGUGGGGGACAACGUUUCGAAAGGAACGCUAAUACCGCAUACGUCCUACGGGAGAAAGCAGGGGACCUUCGGGCCUUGCGCUAUCAGAUGAGCCUAGGUCGGAUUAGCUAGUUGGUGAGGUAAUGGCUCACCAAGGCGACGAUCCGUAACUGGUCUGAGAGGAUGAUCAGUCACACUGGAACUGAGACACGGUCCAGACUCCUACGGGAGGCAGCAGUGGGGAAUAUUGGACAAUGGGCGAAAGCCUGAUCCAGCCAUGCCGCGUGUGUGAAGAAGGUCUUCGGAUUGUAAAGCACUUUAAGUUGGGAGGAAGGGCAGUAAGUUAAUACCUUGCUGUUUUGACGUUACCAACAGAAUAAGCACCGGCUAACUCUGUGCCAGCAGCCGCGGUAAUACAGAGGGUGCAAGCGUUAAUCGGAAUUACUGGGCGUAAAGCGCGCGUAGGUGGUUCGUUAAGUUGGAUGUGAAAUCCCCGGGCUCAACCUGGGAACUGCAUC